AGUGGAAUGCAGCACUUAUAUUUACCGGGGUGCUGUCAGCAAGGAGAGUCAAUUAACAGUUUAACUGGAGCACACGAGUUUAGCAACUAGACGAAUACAAAUGAAUAAUAGAUAAAUUUACACAUCAUAGAUAGACAACUAUAAUAUAAGGUAAGUACAAUGUUCCAAGUACGACAAUUUCGUAUCGCUGGCGAGUCACACGGGCGUGAAGUUGCCAGCUCGGUACAGUCAGCCUGUUAUAUUUGCCGAUCUCCCACCCAAAACCUGUCUCUGGCGCCCAAUAACGAGACUCAGAUAUAGUUAUCACUAAAACCGUUGAUUCCUGAUGUGUUUUGGCAAUGGUUAAGCGUCGAAAACCGGUACAUGCACGAGGGCGAGAUGAUGAAGGCAAGUUAUCCCAGCAUCGUUUCCAGAUUGUCGUACUCGGAGCAUUACAUUUACCAGCUUCUCCCGCAUAAAUAUCACCAGGAAACAUGAAUAAUAAACCAUUUCAACAAUAACUACAAAUAAAUAUCGUUAUUGUGACCCAGGAAACAGUUUUGGGGAUGGAAAUUGGGAAACAUGAGAAACUGAGUACGACAAUCUGGCAACGUUGUACAAUAAUCCCAGCCAUCAGCUGUUCAGUGUUUGUUUACCUCGCGCGGGGGAGAGAGGAAGGGACGCUGUGCUCCGUGCUUCCCUUGUUAUCCCUGCUAUCCACGUGCCCCCCCUUGUUAUCCUCGUGCUCCCGGCCUUGUAGCGGUGCCGUGGCGGGGCGUGUAGGCGUUGACAUCACUCACGGUCAACGGCACUGCCCAUACACUCAGUCCACCCUGGCGGGGACCUCACCAAUGACCUCCAUGAAAACAGGGUCCCAGACAAGCCAGUUGGUCUGAAGGCCGUGGCGCUGACUGACCACAUCAGGGUGUGCUGGCAGCCCCCCACACAGCACAAUGUGCUGCUGUGCGGCUACACCAUUGCCUGGGACCAAGGCGUGGCGGACAUCUACUCCAAGAUCGUGGACAGCAAGCAGCACGGUUACAUCAUUUAUAAGCUGGAACCCAACAUGGAGUUUGUGAUAAGCCUGCGAGCCUUCAACAACGUGGGUGACGGGCAACCGGUGUACCAGCAAGUCCACACCCAGCCAGAGGAGGAGGAGGUGGUGGCACCCACGC